GGACUACCAGGGUAUCUAAUCCCGUUGGCUCCCCUGGCUUUCGUCUGUCAGCGUCAGGAUCUUCCCAGGACAGUGCCUUCGCCUUUGGUGUUCCUCCGGAUCUCUACGCAUUUCACCACUCCACCCGGAAUUCCCUGUCCCUCUGAAGCCCUCAAGUCUGCCAGUUUUCAGAGGCCUUUGCCAGUUAAGCUGGCAACUGUGACUCUAAACCCAACAGACCGCCUGCCGACCCUUUACGCCCAGUAACUCCGGACAACGCUUGCUCCCUACGUCUUACCGCGGCUGCUGGCAC
rnacentral:rRNA from 1 species